rnacentral:lncRNA from 1 species
AACUUCGCAUAAUCUAGGGCUCUCUUUCCUUCUAGUUUGUUUGAGAAAUAAUGUCUUAAAUACUCUUCUACUCUCACUGUCUUGUAUAACAUUUUAUCUUCUGUAGUUUUCAUAAUUGGUGAAAUAAUUCCAUCAUAGUUUGGGAUGUGAAAUGCUGAGAUGGAUAGUCGCUCCUUGUGGGCAUUAAUGGUGACCCUGUGCUCAAUGCUCUUGUACUUCCCAUUUGUCAUAAUCNNNNNNNNNNCAUAAUAAAUAGAUGGGAUUAACAAAUAUCAAGUUUUCCAUCUAUAUCCAUGAAAAGAGCAGUUUCUCAGUCUUAUAAAAUUGGAAGUAGUUUGGAACUACACAUGGCAUUGUCUUGGGACAUGUUCCAUAUACACCGUUCAACUAUUGCUUUGUCUAGAGUGUAUCGGCCAUCCCUAGAAAAAGCUACCUUUGCUUGUGAGGACUUAAUUGUUUUGUCUUCUUCAAUAAAUAACUUAUAUAAAAAAUAAAAGAAGAUAGCGGAAAAACUAUUGAAUGUUAACAAGCUAAUUUUAGUUUAUUGCAACAUGAUCCUAUUGAAAAUUGAACAUUAACGAGCACAUUUUUGUGUAUUGCAACAUAAUCCUACUAGCAAACAAAGAGUGGGAACAAUAGUAACCAAGUACCUUUUAUAAAGAGAAAACAAUGGGUCUUUCAAACGACUAAGAAUGAGCUUUCUCAGUUGAGUUUCCUAGAUGUUGUGUGAGGGCUACAAAGGUGGCUCAGUGACUCGCUUGUUUGGUUAGGUGGACCUUGUAUUUGCUCUUCCCUCAAACUCCCGAAAUAUUUAGAAAACACCCUAACCAAAAAUCUUGCUUAUUUUUUUAGAACCAACUUAUUUGAUCUGGUAAAGUAAAUGCUUUAAUAUGUGUUACUCCUUCCAGUUCAUACUACUUAUCGCUCAAACAGAUAUAUCUAACACUGAAAUACUACAUACAUCUGUUUGAGCGACAAGUAAUAUGAAUUAGAGGCAAUACAUCAACCGAGUAGUGAUUAUACAAACCCAGGUAUAACAACUAUUUAACACAAGAUGACAGGUCAGACAUAAGCACUUCCAUUUGGUGACGGCCGGAUGGGCGUGUGAGCUUGUAAGCAUGUGUCUGUGUGUGCGCGCGCGUGCGUGCGUUCAUGCAUUCUAGAGUUUCGUAGUGGAAAUAGUAAGUUAUGGAGUUGAGGAUUUCUCAUCACCGAAGCCAAUAAGGAUUGUAGUUUUUUUUACAACAUUUUCUAGUAUUUAGUUUUAGAUGCUAUACAACUAGCUUAACAUAUCUAGAAGCAUACCUCAAGAAGAUCACCCACAUUCACCAAUAGUGCAUCACAACGCGGUUUGACGGGAAUCCAUGCACCAUGCCUUCUAAUUUGUAAGCCUUGAACUGAAUUAACUUCUAGGAGAAUAGUUAGAAAAGCUCCAUCAGAAUGCGGUGACAAGCCUAGAACCUUUUCUGGGGUUGACGUGCAUGGAGGGUAGUAGUUCAUCCUGAGAAUUUGAGAUACAUGUUUGUCUGCCACCAAUUCCGGAUCAACAUCGAGUGUUUUUGCAAUGAAGAUGGCCAAGGAAUGAGUGAAUUUCAUCACCUCCGAAGAGUACUGUUCAAUACAAUUCCUGGGAUCAUAACAAUAACAAUGUUUCUUUGUUAAUGUUCGGUUUGGGUAUAUACUGAAAUACAUUAGUCUUUAUAUGACCAGACCUAGCUUCUUUUUGUACCGAGUACAAAUAACAAGCCCAAUAAAAACUAGGUUGCUAGAUAUUUAUUCUGAAAUUCUACCCACAAGACGUGUUAUCAAUUUUUUUUUCCAGAAAACUUAAUAUUCAUUAGACCCUAUGGUGAAUUUUAUUUAAAUUUUCAACAUGGAUGUUUCAUAAAGACUAAUUCGUUGAAUUCAAAUAAAUUGUCUAGGAGUAGGUAGAACAUGAACAAUAGAUGGAACAAUCUUUUGUAGGUUGUUGUUCUAAGGUAUAAUUUUGUUUGGUGCGGUUGAUUUCUUAUCUAUACCAAUGCAUAAACGUAAAAAAAAGUCAUAGUAGUUUACUUUAGGAGGUGCGUAACAUUGAGCAGGAAUGAAAUAAUAAGGCCACACAAAAUGCUUGGUACUCUCCUCUUUGGACAAUGAUGGAUAUUAAAAGGGUGGUGGAUGUUUUACAUGUAAUAAACUCACAUCAAAUUGUUCAUAUGCAUAAGAAAUUAAUAAAUACCAAAAUGACGCUUCAAAGGUCACACCCACAAACAUGCACACUAUAGCGGUGACAAGUCUAGAACAUUUUCCGGGGUUGACAUGCAUGGAGGAUAGUAGUUCAUCCUAGAACUUGAGACACAUGUUUGUCGGCCACCAACUCCAGAUCAACAUCUAGUGUUUUUGCAAUGAAGAUGGCAAGAGAAUGGGUGAAUUUCAUCACCUCUGAAUAGUAUUAUUUAAUACAAUUCCUGGGAUCGUAACAACAGUAAUGUUUCUUUGUUAAUGUUAGGUUUUGGUAGAUAUGGAAAUACUUUGGUCUUUAUAUCACUAGUCCUUGCUUGUAUUUGUACCAGGUAGAAAUAAGAAGCCCAAUAAAAAAACAUUGUUGUAUAGUUCCCUGCUCGGCCCUUUGUUGGUCAUUGCCAUGAACCAUAAAAAGUUGGUUGCUAUAUAUUUAUGCUGAAAUUUUACCCAAAAUACUUGGUAUCAAUUUUACUUUUACAGAAAACUUAAUAUUCGUUAGUUCCUUUGGCCGACUUUAGUAAAAUUUGCAACAUCUAAAUUCAUAAAGAACAAUUCGUUGAUUUAACUAAAUAGUCUUGGGAUAGGUAGAACAUCAGCAAUAUAGCCAACAAGCUUUUGUAGGUCGUUGUGGUAAUGUCUAUUUUUUGGUGAGAUUGGUGAGGCUGCUAUACAUAUACCAAUGCAUAAAGAUAAAAAAUAAUUCAUAGUAGUCUACUGUGAGAGAUGCGUAACAUUGAAAAGGAAUGAAAUAAAAAGGCCAACAUAAAUUAAUAAAUUUCCUUAAUCUGAUGCUUAGAAUAGAAGGACGGCAUUUUCCUUCUCCUUUCUUAUAUCUCUAGAUAUCUCAAGCAUACAAAGUCUAACCUGAAAGUAUGAGGUUGACUUGGCCAGUAACUCAUGUCGCGAGCUUGGGAGGGUUGGGUGAAGAGGGCAAACCUGUCAGCCCAUUCUAGCUUUUGAUCAUCAGAGACAACAAACACUUGCCCAUACCCUUGAAGACCCCCAGGGUCCUGCGCAUAUGCAUUCUUAACUUCGAGGGGAAGUUGAAAGAACUUUUGAAUGUCCUGCUUUAUACCCAUUAUGGCUUCAUCCGGUAUUCCAUGAUUUACAACCUGAAAAUUCAAUAGUUGGACAAAGAAUAAUGCCUUAUCAAAUACAAUUUCAAUGGACAGAAUAAAUGGAUGUCUCAAUUGAUAUUUAGGGAAAAGUAUGGUUUGUAUCUUUAAAGUAAUUCCAGAUUUUGUCUUCAAACUCCAAUACUAGAUAUACCUUUGACCUUAUACUUUUGAAAGAUGAAUAAUUUGGUCCCUGACCACAAUCAGAGCAGUAUGACAAUUGAAGUUGUGAUUAUUUCGCCCAUGUGCCGACCAAGUUGCACAAAAAAAGAUAAAUUAUGAAGAAAAGAUACCAGGAAAAAUAUUCAAGGGAAGAAAGUAAAAUGGUUUGGAAGGUGUGAAUAAAUCUAAUUUUUUGAAGAAUAACUAAAUGAACUGACAUUUUUAAAAUAACUAUUCUUGAAAAGUUACCAAAAAUAUUUGGAAUAUUAUGUUGAAAUAAAAAUAUAGAAAAUGAAAUCAUAAACAACCAAAGAUCAGGUUUAUAUAUAUAGGAUUAGUCACCCUAAAUUUUAUGAAAAUCUGUCGGAUUUAAGACCUGAGUGUAGAAUCAACCUCAAUUAGUGCCACACUAUAGACGUUACGAUUUCUUAAAUCUGAUAAUUUUUCUGAGGGGGACAAGGCUAGAGAUAGAGUCUAGAACGAACCAACAGCUGAGUAAAUUGGUAAAAUGGAAAAACAAAAUCCGGUGAACAAAAUUAUUUGUUUGGUAUCUGUCGUGCUUCUUCAACUAUGUCAACGAUCCUAAUAAUCAACCAAAAAAAUAAACUAUCUCAAAGAUUGAAGGUGAGCUACAAUGACAUUAUGGAGUAGUAGUUUAAUCCUUGAGUGACGUACCUGAAAGAAGCCCCACUCGGCGCAGGCAAAUCUGAGCUUGGCGGCCUCUGCUUCAGCGGACUCGGCGCUCAAGAGCUUGCUGAGGUCGAUCACCGGAACUUCGCUGGACAGCUCGGGGAGAACGGCGUGUGCGUCGAUGUCCGGCUGGAUGUACCUUCCGAUCUUGUCGACCGUCAGCUCGCCGGCGGACGCCACCAGAGCCUGCACGCUAGUGACGGGAAGCGAUGUUCCCACCUUCGACCACGUACCACCCGCUGCCUCCGCCUCCAUCGGUGUAGCUACCAAGCUAGUUCUCCGCUACUGGUCUCGUUUGUGAAGUUAGGGAUCCAGCCAUCGAUCAGGCUAUUAUAUAUAUAGAAACAAAAUAUAUAUAGACUGAGUCAGAAAAUGCAGAUGAUUCAUCGACCGGGUCGUCCGGGAGGCCCUCCAAUCCAUGUGCUUUGACGCACCGACGGAUGCUAAAAAAGAAAAGCCCGCGGCUAGUGGCUGAAAAAACAAUUCCGGCUAGUGGUCGAAUUUAUCUUUUUUAACAGACGCAGCGCAGACGUUCGUACUUCCUUAUUUUUUCAGGGACUCAACCAUUGCCUCAGGCUUAGCUAUUAUAUACGCUCUCUAUUCCUAGAUAUAAUUUUUUUGUUAAGAAACUACAAGCAAAGCAAACCAUGUUAUAGGAAAAUACCGGUGUGGUGGUCGGCCUUACUACCUUUUUAGUAGACCUUCUCGAGCAUGUCUUUCAUAGCAUGCAUUCCCAUAUGUGUUGCAACUGAUUCGGUAAGCUAUGUGUCCGAUCGACGGAAAACUGCCUUCGGUCUUUCAAUCUUACUCAUGACAACCUUAAAUCAAUAAGUUAAAUUAUGUUUAUAUGUAUUCAUAUGUAAUUUUUUAGUGAAACCUUUAAAAAAUAUUUAAAAAUAACAAGAGUAACUGUUAAUUUAUGUUGCAACUUGCUAGUAUUUUUUUUUUCCAAUUGAACCCGAAUUGUAACAGCGACCUCACAAGAAAGAUGCCAAUGAUGAUAAUUCCUGAAUCGGCAUCGGCUCGACCGGAAGUUCCUCUGGCCGUGCGUUUGAACGUAAUAUCUACAACUAAACCACCUAUAUUCUUCUCUAACAUUUAAAACGGCCUUUCGGUCAAUGGCCCGUCAAAAAUAGUUGAUCCGGUCGGACACCCCACUUUGUUUCUAAACUUCUGGAUUAACCGACAUCCCUCAUAUUCAUCUUAAAUAUAGGAAGGAUAUGAAGGUUCGCGGACGCGUUCGGUCAAUUCAGACGUAAGACACGACCCCAUUCCGAACCUUUUUUUCUUUCUUUCUCUUCUUCUUUACCAAUUACAUGCAAAUGAUCGGACAUACGAAAAAAAAGUGCGGUUGCAUGGACGAAGAAAUAGGGGCUCAAAACGAACACGUUCGGCCACAAAUCGGGCGCGUCCGCGGGAGUUUAGGGAAUCAUAUUUGCUAAGUUCGGAUGUAGAUGCUCUAACGAUGCUAAACAAUUCCUAGCCGCUAGUGUUCAAAAUUUAUGAGGAUAGUUUUCUUCAACUACAAUUAUUUAGGUGCAGAGAAAAUAUAUGCUAAAAAAGUUGCGUUGACACGCUCGGAAUCAAGAACGCGUGCUGAGCCCAUCUGCCGGCCAUUCUGUUUUACAAUGUUUUAUCCUUCCUCCGUAAAGAAAUAUAAGAGUGUUAAGAUUACUAUUGUUAUGAUUUAAACACUCUUAUAUUUAUUUACAUAGGGAAUACUAUACAGGCCAGAGCAAAUCAUAAAUGAGAUAGUCGUAGCCCCGGCUAACCAAAAACUAAGUACCAACAAUUGGUUGGGUGGCUAGUGAGGCUAUUGUUUCCCAAUUUGUUAGUGUCAUAUUCUCUUUGGCGCAACCCUUCUUGUGCAGGCAAACCUGAGCUUCGUGGCCUCCGCUUCCACGGAGGCACAGACUCGGGGUUCAAGAGCUUGCCGAGGUCUAUCACCGAAACUUUCUUGGAGUGCUCGGCAAGAACUACCAGAGCCUAAACGUUCCUGACGAUAAGCGUCAUUCCGAGCUUCGACCGCCUCCUCUCACUCUCAGUGUUGCUUCCACCUCCAUCAGUAUAGUUAGUUGGUUCUCCGCUACGUGCUCUCGCUAGUGAAGUUACUUCUGCUUGCUUAUUUGUACAGCCAUGCAACCACCAAGGCACCAACUAGGCUAUUAUGUAAGUCAGAAGAUGCCAAUGAUGAUUCCUCAAUCCAUGUGUUUCAACGUACCGAUAGAUGCUAAAAAAAUGGCUGGUGGGGUGGCCAAAGGACGAAUUUCAUGAUGUUGUAGAACUGCAGUUAAGUUAUGGCGGCCGUAUUUUAAUUAUCGCGUCUUCCGCUUGGCACCAUCCUUCUUGCUGGGAUGGUAUGGAACCAAGGUUUGCAAUAAACUAAUUUUCAUCUUUCAAAUAUCAUCAUAUAAGUAAUAGAGGAAGAAGUUACCCGAAAAUUAAUGCAAAGAUUCAAAUGAAGUGGAAAAUAUUUCACUGAUUGGUCACAAUGAAAAAUAUAUAUCCAUUGCAGGGAAGCGUCAAAAUUGAGUCUAUGAAUGUAUAUCUAGAAUGAUAAAUUAGGGUAGAAAAUCCUUCCUUAUAUUUGGGAUAACUUUGCAUGAUCCAAGGCUCUCUUUCCUUCUAGUUUGUUUGUGAAAAAAAGUCUGGCAUACUCUUCUAUUUUCACCGUCUUGUAUAACAACUUCUCUUCUCUAGUUUCCAAAAUUGGUGAAAUUAUUCCAUCAUAAUUUGGGAGGUGAAAUGCUGACACGGUUAGUCGCUCCUUGUGGGCAUUUAUGGUGACCCUGUGCUCAAUGCUCUUGUACUUCCCAUUUGUCAUAAUCU